GUAGGUGGCAAGCGUUGUCCGGAAUUAUUGGGCGUAAAGCGCGCGCAGGCGGUUCUUUAAGUCUGAUGUGAAAGCCCACGGCUCAACCGUGGAGGGUCAUUGGAAACUGGAGAACUUGAGUACAGAAGAGGAAAGCGGAAUUCCACGUGUAGCGGUGAAAUGCGUAGAGAUGUGGAGGAACACCAGUGGCGAAGGCGGCUUUCUGGUCUGUAACUGGCGCUGAGGCGCGAAAGCGUGGGGAGCAAACAGGGAUUAGAUACCCUGGUAGUCCACGCCGUAAACGAUGAGUGCUAAGUGUUAGGGGGGUUUCCGCCCCCUUAGUGCUGCAGCUAACGCAUUAAGCACUCCGCCUGGGGAGUACGGCCGCAAGGCUG
rnacentral:rRNA from 1 species